rnacentral:rRNA from 1 species
AUUGAACGCUGGCGGAAUGCUUUACACAUGCAAGUCGAACGGUAGAGGGGGCAACCCCUUGAGAGUGGCGAACGGGUGAGUAAUAUAUCGGAACGUGCCCAGUCGUGGGGAUAACGUAGCGAAAGUUACGCUAAUACCGCAUACGAUCUAAGGAUGAAAGCGGGGGAUCGCAAGACCUCGCGCGAUUGGAGCGGCCGAUAUCAGAUUAGGUAGUUGGUGAGGUAAAGGCUCACCAAGCCAACGAUCUGUAGCUGGUCUGAGAGGACGACCAGCCACACUGGAACUGAGACACGGUCCAGACUCCUACGGGAGGCAGCAGUGGGGAAUAUUGGGACAAUGGGCGAAAGCCUGAUCCAGCAAUGCCGCGUGAGUGAUGAAGGCCUUAGGGUUGUAAAG